UGGCGAUGAAGAUAAAACAAAAGGCUUGUUUCUCAACAACAUUCGCAGUGGCCGCCUAAGUGCUUUCGCCUUUCGCCGGGCUUGAGAGCUUAUGCUGUUUUUCUAUCCUUCCUUGGAUGUCUGAGUCA
rnacentral:snoRNA from 1 species